rnacentral:rRNA from 1 species
UGGGGGAUAUUGCACAAUGGGGGAAACCCUGAUGCAGCGACGCCGCGUGAAGGAUGAAGUAUUUCGGUAUGUAAACUUCUAUCAGCAGGGAAGAAGAUGACGGUACCUGACUAAGAAGCCCCGGCCAACUACGUGCCAGCAGCCGCGGUAAUACGUAGGGGGCAAGCGUUAUCCGGAUUUACUGGGUGUAAAGGGAGCGUAGACGGAGAGGCAAGUCUGAUGUGAAAGGCCAGGGCUCAACCCUGGGACUGCAUUGGAAACUGUGUAUCUAGAGUGUCGGAGAGGCAAGUGGAAUUCCUAGUGUAGCGGUGAAAUGCGUAGAUAUUAGGAGGAACACCAGUGGCGAAGGCGGCUUGCUGGACGAUGACUGACGUUGAGGCUCGAAAGCGUGGGGAGCAAACAGG